rnacentral:lncRNA from 1 species
GGGUCAAAAGGAUGAAUUAUAUGGUAACUAUAUCCAAAUAGGUUCUUGAGUGUUAUUUUGCAUACAUUCGGCCUAUCCGGACGUCAGGUACCAUUGCUAGAUGGUUACUCUGAUUGGUACAGAAAUCAAUUUCUAUGCUACUGGCUUAGGUUCGAACCUAUGGGGUCACAUACAUUAGAAGUUUCUCUCCGAUCAUAUGGCUAAUCUGAAGAGUUUCAGUGAAUGAAAACCCUGGUGAAGAGUCCCACUGGACAAAAACUCUAGAGAAGAGUCCCNNN